AUAUUCUGUGCUGCUUAUGUCUUAUCAGCUAGUCAUAUCUUCAGAAACCUGCUGAGAGUUUGUUUUUGACCUUCAGGGAAAAUGUUGGAGAUAUUUUUUGGUGGAAGUGUGCUGUUUCUGCCCUCACAAGAUCAUUUUGUUUUGUUGAGUAAAGGUCUCUUUCUGUAGCCCAGCUGUUCUGUGUCCAGCAUAGUCUCUGGCUUGUAGCUAUCUUCCUUUCUCAGCCUCUCAGAUGCUGGAAUUACAGGUGUAUACCACCAUACCCAUCACAAAAUCACUUUUUAAAUUGUGCAGAGAGGAGGCCAGAUCUUGAUGAUGGUAGAUUUGACUUAGUAGAUUUAUACUGUUUGUCCUAUCCCUCUAGCAUAGAUUCCUGACAGAUGGCUUUUCUCCUUUAGUAACCAAACCAAAACAAGAACACACUUGCCCAAGUUCUCCUAAGGAUCAGCCAGGUUUUGGGAACACAGAAUGGUGUUAAGCUAAAGUGGUCUCUCAAGAGCUAUAGUACCCGGGGGCUGGUGAGAUGGCUCAGUGUGUAAGAGCACCCAACUGCUCUUCCGAAGGUCCUGAGUUCAAAUCCUAGCAACCACAUGAUGGCUCACAACUAUCCAUAAGGAGAUCUGACUCCCUCUUCUGGAGUGUCUGAAGACAGCUGCAGUGUAUUUACAUAUAAUAAAUAAAUAAAUCUUUAAAGAUGGGAGGUAAUCUUU
rnacentral:lncRNA from 1 species